UGAGGAAUAUUGCGCAAUGGGGGAAACCCUGACGCAGCAACGCCGCGUGGGUGAAGAAGGCCCUCGGGUUGUAAAGCCCUGUCAGGUGGGAAGAAACUUCCACAGGCGAAACAUCUGGGGAACUGACGGUACCACCAGAGGAAGCACCGGCUAACUCCGUGCCAGCAGCCGCGGUAAGACGGAGGGUGCAAGCGUUGUUCGGAAUCACUGGGCGUAAAGCGCGUGUAGGCGGUUGGAUAAGUCGGAUGUGAAAUCCCGGGGCUUAACCUCGGAAGUGCAUUCGAAACUGUUCAGCUAGAGUACGGGAGAGGGGAGUGGAAUUCCUGGUGUAGAGGUGAAAUUCGUAGAUAUCAGGAGGAACACCGGUGGCGAAGGCGGCUCUCUGGACCGAUACUGACGCUGAGACGCGAAAGCGUGGGGAGCAAACAGG
rnacentral:rRNA from 1 species